UACGUAGGCAGCGAGCGUUGUUCGGAGUUACUGGGCGUAAAGCGUGCGUAGGCGGUUUUGUAAGUUUGGUGUGAAAUCUCCCGGCUCAACUGGGAGGGUGCGCCGAAAACUGCAAGGCUGGAGUGUGGGAGAGGUAGGCGGAAUUCCUGGUGUAGCGGUGAAAUGCGUAGAUAUCAGGAGGAACACCGGUGGCGAAGGCGGCUCUCUGGACCACAACUGACGCUGAGGCGCGAAAGCUAGGGGAGCAAACAGG
rnacentral:rRNA from 1 species